GAUUAGUGGCGAACGGGUGAGUAACACGUGAGUAACCUGCCCUUAACUCUGGGAUAAGCCUGGGAAACUGGGUCUAAUACCGGAUAUGACUCCUCAUCGCAUGGUGGGGGGUGGAAAGCUUUAUUGUGGUUUUGGAUGGACUCGCGGCCUAUCAGCUUGUUGGUGAGGUAAUGGCUCACCAAGGCGACGACGGGUAGCCGGCCUGAGAGGGUGACCGGCCACACUGGGACUGAGACACGGCCCAGACUCCUACGGGAGGCAGCAGUGGGGAAUAUUGCACAAUGGGCGAAAGCCUGAUGCAGCGACGCCGCGUGAGGGAUGACGGCCUUCGGGUUGUAAACCUCUUUCAGUAGGGAAGAAGCGAAAGUGACGGUACCUGCAGAAGAAGCGCCGGCUAACUACGUGCCAGCAGCCGCGGUAAUACGUAGGGCGCAAGCGUUAUCCGGAAUUAUUGGGCGUAAAGAGCUCGUAGGCGGUUUGUCGCGUCUGCCGUGAAAGUCCGGGGCUCAACUCCGGAUCUGCGGUGGGUACGGGCAGACUAGAGUGAUGUAGGGGAGACUGGAAUUCCUGGUGUAGCGGUGAAAUGCGCAGAUAUCAGGAGGAACACCGAUGGCGAAGGCAGGUCUCUGGGCAUUAACUGACGCUGAGGAGCGAAAGCAUGGGGAGCGAACAGGAUUAGAUACCCUGGUAGUCCAUGCCGUAAACGUUGGGCACUAGGUGUGGGGGACAUUCCACGUUUUCCGCGCCGUAGCUAACGCAUUAAGUGCCCCGCGUGGGGAGUACGGCCGCAAGGCUAAAACUCAAAGGAAUUGACGGGGGCCCGCACAAGCGGCGGAGCAUGCGGAUUAAUUCGAUGCAACGCGAAGAACCUUACCAAGGCUUGACAUGAACCGGAAAUACCUGGAAACAGGUGCCCCGCUUGCGGUCGGUUUACAGGUGGUGCAUGGUUGUCGUCAGCUCGUGUCGUGAGAUGUUGGGUUAAGUCCCGCAACGAGCGCAACCCUCGUUCUAUGUUGCCAGCGCGUUAUGGCGGGGACUCAUAGGAGACUGCCGGGGUCAACUCGGAGGAAGGUGGGGACGACGUCAAAUCAUCAUGCCCCUUAUGUCUUGGGCUUCACGCAUGCUACAAUGGCCGGUACAAAGGGUUGCGAUACUGUGAGGUGGAGCUAAUCCCAAAAAGCCGGUCUCAGUUCGGAUUGGGGUCUGCAACUCGACCCCAUGAAGUCGGAGUCGCUAGUAAUCGCAGAUCAGCAACGCUGCGGUGAAUACGUUCCCGGGCCUUGUACACACCGCCCGUCAAGUCACGAAAGUUGGUAACACCCGAAGCCGGUGGCCUAACCCCUUGUGGGAGGGAGCUUCGAAGGUG
rnacentral:rRNA from 1 species